GACGAACCGUCCUAACGUUGUUCGGAAUCACUGGGCUUAAAGGGCGCGUAGGCGGCCCCGUCAGUCGGGGGUGAAAUCCCACGGCCCAACCGUGGAAGUGCCUCCGAUACUGCGGGGCUCGAGGGGGGUAGGGGCAGCGGGAACUUCCGGUGGAGCGGUGAAAUGCGUUGAUAUCAGGAAGAACACCCGUGGCGAAGGCGGCUCUCUGGAACGCAACUGACGCUGAGACGCGAAAGCGUGGGGAGCAAACAGG
rnacentral:rRNA from 1 species